GUUCGCUGCUUGUUCUUUAAAUCAGGAUUCCAAGAGGGAAAAAGGUAAAACACGAGGUUAGGUCUCAAACUCAGCAAAUCAAAGAAUCUCAGUAUAUUUAGUUCUGGUUUGUUUAAAUAACUUUUCUAUAGUACUUUGUUCUGACUUAGUUGGUUUUGUAAAUAACUUUAGGUAAAGUACGAUAUGGGAUUUUUGGUCUAAGUUAACUUAAUUGUUUUUUAUA